GAGAAGGGCUUGUUGAUGGAGAAAAUUGAUGGGUUUGUGGUGGUUAGGGAUACCACCGCGCCGUCAUGGUGUGCAUGAGGUUUGUGAUUCUGCACUUCUGGAACAUGAUUUCCACUUCGUUUGCUUCUGGUUUCACCAACCUUUCCAUGGUGGUUUGGUACUGAACUAGAGAAACAGAGAAAGGUUCUUUGCUUUGUGUUCUUACUUGUUAUUCUUGCUCUUUCUGUUCUGACUUUGGAUUUAUCAAAUCAAUUUAUUAUGGAUGAAAAUAGUUGCUUGCUGGAAGGGUGCUGUUCUUUCUUUCCUUUGAAUCAUUUCCCUUUUUUUUAUUGAUGUUUACAAUUUCUUUGUUAAUUGAUUAUGAUUAUUAGGGUGACAAGGUGCUAAUUAAUAUAUGGUUGUGUAGCAUGCUAGUUUGUUGGGUUGUGACUUUGACAGGGAGAAUGGGAACAUUGACAAUGAGGGAAUGGAGAAGGAUGUGAAUUAGUCUCCAACUAAUGUUAAGCAUCCUUGCAAAUUUCCUUUUUAAAAUUUGUUAGGAGGUUAAUCUGAUUGCUACUGUCUACUGCUUGACAUAAGUGCAUAAGCUUGAAAUGUAUCUCAUUUUUCAUGUUCUUGUGAAUGUAUCUUUGAUGGUUAGCUUGUAUUUCAAGUUUUUGCUUUUUUUCAUAGUCCCUUUUGGCAUCUAAACAAACUUGGUUCUUGUUGAAAGAAUUUAAUCUGAUAAAAUAAUUAUGCUCAUUUAUAUAUUUGGAGUUGAUUUCACAUUAAAGGAAUUAAAGCCAUUGAGAGUGAAUCAGAGAUAUAGCUUCAGGGAUCAACAGUAUAAUGGUUAAUCCUUCAUUACACUUCUUAGUUUCUAAUUCAAAUAUAUAUAAUUUUCUUUCAUCUGUUUGAGUUGUUCAUACGUUAAUUAUGAACUAUUCCCAUGUGGUUAUGUGUUUCAAUCAAUAAAAUCUCUGUUUUCAUUGGUGUACAAACUUGCCCAGGCUCCACAAAAUUCUUGGCUCCGCCACUGCUUACUCUAUCAAGUUUCACAGUCAGGUUGCUAGUUAGACUGUUUUAGAAUUCUCAUUGGCUAGUUCCUUCCUUAUCCUCCACACUUUCACUUACAACGAAUAAUUGGUAAAAAUGAACUUCAUUAUAGUUAGGGAGACAAAAAUAAACCAGGAGGGGUUAUGACCCAGCAUAUCCAUAAAUAGGGGAUUUAUCUGAAGAAAAUACAUUUACCUGAAUUCAUUAUAAUCUAGUUCAAAGUAAAAUUGCAUUUGGCAUAUGAUUAUGAAUUUUGUUCAAAGAGAGAACAUAGCAGGCAAUAAACAAAAAUCUAAUUUCCAAAUGACAAUGUAAUGAAGAGAGAGACAGAAAAUCUAAUUUUCCUUGGCACUAGCAACAGUUUUCAUGUGAAACAUGAAAGGAUUGAAAUUCCUAAUUAACAUGCCCACCAUUUCCUUUCCAGGUUUAAAUAUCAUUCAAGUUUCAGCAUACACAUAUAAACACCCACCUAGUCAGGUACAGUUAAGCAUUUUUAACAAAGUAUCCCUGAUGCUGAGAAAUUCAAAUAACAUAAAGACUAUGAUCAUCUCUUCUAUAAUCUAUGUACCAAGAAUUGAUAAAUUCAAACCUAAAGAUCUAAUUCUUUCUUAAGUCAAACUUUUAAUUGGAAUUUCACUUGUGAAGUUAUAAAAGUCCUAGCAUAUUUAGCAUCUAAUCUUCUAUCUUACAAAAUCCAUUCCUAUUCCUAAUCGAUACCCACUUAAACCUGAAUCUCUCAAAUGAUCAAUCCAUGGCCUACGGUUCUGAAAAAUAUAAACUUUGUAAAUUCGUCCUUUUGAUUAGUCUUUUUUUUUUUUACAUUUCAAGAGAAAAGGGGAUCUUUACAAAUUGACACCAUUUCCCAUUAAUGCAAAAGCUUAUGAAAAAAAAAAAAGAAGAUACGGGUAGAAAGGAGUAAAAGUGUAAAACAGAGUCUCUCAUAAUUUUUCAUUAUUUAUUUAUUCCAUUAUUUUUAUUCAUACAUCAUUAAUUCUUUAACUUCAUGGUGGGGUGGCAGCUUCACCAGCAGCGGCAGGUGGGCAGCUCCGGCACAGAAACGGGUAGAGUAUGCACUCCCUCCUCGGGUAGGGGCAGCGUCCUGCCGCUUCGCCAGCUGCAGUCGUCGGGACCGUGAGGCCAGCGGCAGGGGGGCAGCCGCGGC
rnacentral:lncRNA from 1 species